rnacentral:rRNA from 1 species
CAGUCGCCACGGUAAUACGUAGGGUGCAAGCGUUAAUCGGAAUUACUGGGCGUAAAGCGUGCGCAGGCGGUUUGUUAAGACAGAUGUGAAAUCCCCGGGCUCAACCUGGGAACUGCAUUUGUGACUGGCAAGCUAGAGUGUGGCAGAGGGGGGUGGAAUUCCGCGUGUAGCAGUGAAAUACGUAGAUAUGCGGAGGAACACCGAUGGCGAAGGCAGCCCCCUGGGCCAACACUGACGCUCAUGCACGAAAGCGUGGGGAGCAAACAGGAUUAGAGACCCGCGUAGUCCCUGUCUCUUAUAC